AAGGUGGUGCUUGGAAACGUUCCAACUCGUCAUUUUUAUUCUCCCUACGUAACAAAGACAACCUUGCUCCAUUUAUUGCCAACAUCAAGCAAGAUCAGGAGCAGUAUGCAAUCUAUUGCAUCUCUGGUUAUGGACCAACCUUUGGUGGAGGUCAUGAUCUGUAUAUUUGUAACAAUCCUCAAGUUAGUCAAUCGUACAGCAAUUUUGGAAGCACAUAUCAACUUCCCCCUGGUUAUGUUUAUAACAGUGAACAAGCAAAGAACCUUCUUGCUGGUCAGUACCCAUUCUUAAAGACAGAAAUCGAAGUCUUCAACUGACAGUUGCCUUGGUUUACGUACUUCAACGAAAAAUAACAUUACAUUGAUUACGACCGCUCUUAGCAAUCACUUUUGGACAGUGAUUUUGCGAUGUUAUAAAGUAUUAAGAAUUAAUAUGAAUAUUCUGAGUCAUGUACUGUAGGAAUUUUAAAAAUUAAAAUUGGUCGUUUGCCUCAACAGUAGCGGUUACUGGAGUCAACAAAUGAAAGACCUCGAAGAAAACUUGUGAAAAACCGAUUGUUAUACAGCCGACAAUAAUCAAUUAUCUAAUCAGCAUAUAGCGUAGGUAAAUGUUCGAAAAUUGGAAGCGGAACAUUUAAUUUUCGAUCGACCACUUUAAAUCGGGUUGCAUCUGACCAUUUUUUUAUCACAAUGACAUAAGAACGGUGUCAUUUGGCAGCUAAAAGCCUAUCUUUAUUAGUGUGCGAAAAGUAAAUCUGUAAACUUAGCAUCUAUAACGCACGAUAACAGGCCAAAAUUGUUUUUAUUUACCCUUUUGAUACACCCUGCACUAUACAUGUUGAAGGGUUUUCGAGAUUUCCAUCUUCAAAAAACCAUCCAAUAUUUAAUAUCGACUGAGAUGCCUGAAAUCGCGAUCCUGAUAAAUCCCCAUAUACCUUACAUCGUUAUCAUGUAGUAUGUACUGUAUACAUGAACUUGUGGUUGAAACUGUACUCGACAAGUGGAUUCUGUAGCUCAGUUGGUUAGAGUGCUGCACCGGAAUCGCAGGGUCGCAAAUUUGAUUCCUGUCAGAGGGCCUAUAUAGUUGCAUUUUUUGCAGCUGCUCCUGGUGUGGUGUAUAAACGUAUAAAAUUUACACUCGAGGUUUCCAUCUACAAAAACCCUUCAACAUUUAGUAUCGAGUGAGGUGUCCAAAAUCCUGUAUUAUAUGUACCUUUUUUCAUUGAUCAUGAUAGAGUCGUAAUCAAUGACUUGUAUAAGCUUUCUCAGUAAUUCUUAUAUGUACAUAAUUAUUCAAUGUAUCAUGAACAUGGCCGCCGAGAGGUUCAACGCUGAGCCCGUGCCAAAACUUUUCAAGGACCCGUUAUGAUGUCAUAAUCGUAAAAGGGGAGCAGAGCUGGAAAAAGUGUUCAAUGUUCCUCGGAUCCUGAAUUUGCUUUUUUCAAAUGUAUUAUAUUGGUUGUAAAAUUGCAAAACAAUUUAAAUUCUAUUAACAGGAUAUGAAGAACACUUCAGUCGCAAUCACGAAAAUAGACUCAAAUGGCAGAUAAAUAAAUAUGAUUCCUUAAAAUUCUCCCUUAAAGUACGCGUGAAAAAUUGAAAAUGUUCCUCAAUCUUGUUGCUAAGCCUAAGGCAAAUGUUCCUCAGGAUCCCGAGAUCCCACUUUUUUCCAGGUCUGGAGGGGGAGAAGCGUGUUUUACAAUAUAUCACAAUUUAUUACAUUUUUGUCUGACACUAACGCAGCUAGAUUUACUGAUAUUUUUAUAUUCUCAGUAGCAAUCUUGUAUUAGAAAUUUUAAAGGCCUUCGUUGCUUUGGGGACCUCUUUGAUUUUGGGGCUCGGGGGCCUCUUUUGGUUUUGGGGCUCCCAACCCCUUUCGGUGGCCCUGAUUAUAAACUAUUGCUUUGAACUGAUUUAUGCUGUACAUAUCGUGUAAAUAUUUUACAAGGAAUCAAAUUUCAAAAACCCAGUGGUUCCUAGUUGGCUCCUAGCUCUUUAGGUUAGAUUACUUUAAAUCAUAAUGAUUCUUAUUAAUGUUGUAAUUGACGAAAUAAAU
rnacentral:lncRNA from 1 species